GACGAACGCUGGCGGCGUGCUUAACACAUGCAAGUCGAACGGAAAGGCCCUGCUUUUGUGGGGUGCUCGAGUGGCGAACGGGUGAGUAACACGUGAGUAACCUGCCCUUGACUUUGGGAUAACUUCAGGAGACUGGGGCUAAUACCGGAUAGGAGCUCCUGCUGCAUGGUGGGGGUUGGAAAGUUUCGGCGGUUGGGGAUGGACUCGCGGCUUAUCAGCUUGUUGGUGGGGUAGUGGCUUACCAAGGCUUUGACGGGUAGCCGGCCUGAGAGGGUGACCGGCCACAUUGGGACUGAGAUACGGCCCAGACUCCUACGGGAGGCAGCAGUGGGGAAUAUUGCACAAUGGGCGGAAGCCUGAUGCAGCAACGCCGCGUGCGGGAUGACGGCCUUCGGGUUGUAAACCGCUUUCGCCUGUGACGAAGCGUGAGUGACGGUAAUGGGUAAAGAAGCACCGACUAACUACGUG
rnacentral:rRNA from 1 species